GAGAACCCGACUCUGUUUCCUCAACUCUGUUAGCAAAAUGAUGAAGAUGAAGUUUUGAUGAUGCCCAAAUUAAGUCAAGAUUUAUCAAGAUUCAUGAAGAUCCUUUGAAGACUUAUUUUUGUUAUGAAAAGCUUUUGUAAUAAUUGUAGUUUAAUUGUUUAGGACUUAGAUUUGUAGUAGGUUUUGAUUCUUGUACCUUUAU
rnacentral:lncRNA from 1 species